rnacentral:rRNA from 1 species
GAUAACGGCGUCGUAGCGGCGGACGGGUGAGUAAUGCCUAGGAAAUUGCCCUGAUGUGGGGGAUAACCAUUGGAAACGAUGGCUAAUACCGCAUAAUGCCUACGGGCCAAAGAGGGGGACCUUCGGGCCUCUCGCGUCAGGAUAUGCCUAGGUGGGAUUAGCUAGUUGGUGAGGUAAGGGCUCACCAAGGCGACGAUCCCUAGCUGGUCUGAGAGGAUGAUCAGCCACACUGGAACUGAGACACGGUCCAGACUCCUACGGGAGGCAGCAGUGGGGAAUAUUGCACAAUGGGCGCAAGCCUGAUGCAGCCAUGCCGCGUGUGUGAAGAAGGCCUUCGGGUUGUAAAGCACUUUCAGUCGUGAGGAAGGUAGUGUAGUUAAUAGCUGCAUUAUUUGACGUUAGCGACAGAAGAAGCACCGGCUAACUCCGUGCCAGCAGCCGCGGUAAUACGGAGGGUGCGAGCGUUAAUCGGAAUUACUGGGCGUAAAGCGCAUGCAGGUGGUUUGUUAAGUCAGAUGUGAAAGCCCGGGGCUCAACCUCGGAAUUGCAUUUGAAACUGGCAGACUAGAGUACUGUAGAGGGGGGGUAGAAUUUCAGGUGUAGCGGUGAAAUGCGUAGAGAUCUGAAGGAAUACCGGUGGCGAAAGGCGGCCCCCUGGACAGAUACUGACACUCAGAUGCGAAAGCGUGGGGAGCAAACAGGGAUUAGAUACCCUGGUAGUCCACGCCCGUAAACGAUGUCUA